CCCUUAGAUGGUCUGGGCGGCCCGCGCACUACAAUGGCGUGUGCAGCGAGUGCCGAAGUAGAGUUUUCCGAGGUAUUCUUGCAAUGCUCGUUUUGAUGGGGAUAGACCCUUGCAACUGUUGGUUUUGAACGAGGAAUUCCUUGUAAGCAUGGUUUAUCAUCCGACGCUGAAUGCGUCCCUGCCCUUUGUACACACCGCCCGUCGCUCCUACCGAUGAGUCGUCCGGUGAAGUUCGUAGACCUCGUGAUCGCGGAUCACUGGGGGAAGCAAAAUGAACCUCGCGGUUUAGAGGAAGGAGAAGUCGUAACA
rnacentral:rRNA from 1 species